GGAGGUUUGGCAGAGUGGUCGAAUGCGGCGGUCUUGAAAACCGUUGAGGGUGAGAGCCCUCCGUGGGUUCGAAUCCCACAGCCUCCGCCA
rnacentral:tRNA from 1 species